AGAGGCAGGCAGAUCUCAGUGAGUUCGAGGCCAGCCUGGUCUACAAAGUGAGUUCUAGGACAGCCAGGACUGUUACACAGAGAAACCCUGUCUCAAAA
rnacentral:miRNA from 1 species